AGUAAUUCAACCGGUGCAGGCAGCCAAGGCUGCGUGCUUAAUAGGGGAAUCGUGUGAAAAUCACGGGCUGACGGGCAACUGUAAUCCGCCAGAACAAAGGUGGAAAGCCAGGACACCUGCCAUAAUGAAUUAAUUGUU
rnacentral:ncRNA from 2 species